rnacentral:rRNA from 1 species
UGUCCGGAAUCAUUGGGCGUAAAGCGCGUGUAGGCGGCUUGGUAAGUCUGCUCUGAAAGCCCGGGGCUCAACCCCGGGAGGCGGGUGGAUACUGUCAAGCUCGAGUCCGGAAGAGGAGUGUGGAAUUCCUGGUGUAGCGGUGAAAUGCGCAGAUAUCAGGAGGAACACCAAUGGCGAAGGCAGCACUCUGGGACGUGACUGACGCUGAGACGCGAAAGCGUGGGGAGCAAACAGG